UACGUAGGGUGCGAGCGUUAUCCGGAGUUACUGGGCGUAAAGGGCGUGUAGGUGGUAAUGUAAGUCUGGCGUGAAAUUUUUCGGCUUAACCGGGAAAGGUCGUCGGAGACUGCAUAACUAGAGGACGGUAGAGGCGUGUGGAAUUCCGGGUGUAGUGGUGAAAUGCGUAGAGAUCCGGAGGAACACCAGUGGCGAAGGCGACACGCUGGGCCGUACCUGACACUGAGGCGCGAUAGCAUGGGGAGCAAACAGG
rnacentral:rRNA from 1 species